UGGAAAGUAGCUCAAUUGGAAGAGCAACGGCUUUUGGUGCCGCAGGUUGCAGGUUCGAGUCCUGCCUUUCCAGCCA
rnacentral:tRNA from 1 species